rnacentral:rRNA from 1 species
GACGGGUGAGUAAUGCCUAGGAAAUUGCCCUGAUGUGGGGGAUAACCAUUGGAAACGAUGGCUAAUACCGCAUAAUGCCUACGGGCCAAAGAGGGGGACCUUCGGGCCUCUCGCGUCAGGAUAUGCCUAGGUGGGAUUAGCUAGUUGGUGAGGUAAGGGCUCACCAAGGCGACGAUCCCUAGCUGGUCUGAGAGGAUGAUCAGCCACACUGGAACUGAGACACGGUCCAGACUCCUACGGGAGGCAGCAGUGGGGAAUAUUGCACAAUGGGCGCAAGCCUGAUGCAGCCAUGCCGCGUGUGUGAAGAAGGCCUUCGGGUUGUAAAGCACUUUCAGUCGUGAGGAAGGUAGUGUAGUUAAUAGCUGCAUUAUUUGACGUUAGCGACAGAAGAAGCACCGGCUAACUCCGUGCCAGCAGCCGCGGUAAUACGGAGGGUGCGAGCGUUAAUCGGAAUUACUGGGCGUAAAGCGCAUGCAGGUGGUUUGUUAAGUCAGAUGUGA